GACGAACGCUGGCGGCGUGCUUAACACAUGCAAGUCGAACGGAAAGGCCUCUUUCGGGGGGUACUCGAGUGGCGAACGGGUGAGUAACACGUGAGUAACCUGCCCUUGACUUUGGGAUAACUUCAGGAAACUGGGGCUAAUACCGGAUAGGAGCUCCUGCUGCAUGGUGGGGGUUGGAAAGUUUUGGCGGUUGGGGAUGGACUCGCGGCUUAUCAGCUUGUUGGUGGGGUAGUGGCUUACCAAGGCUUUGACGGGUAGCCGGCCUGAGAGGGUGACCGGCCACAUUGGGACUGAGAUACGGCCCAGACUCCUACGGGAGGCAGCAGUGGGGAAUAUUGCACAAUGGGUGGAAGCCUGAUGCAGCAACGCCGUGUGCGGGAUGACGGCCUUCGGGUUGUAAACCGCUUUCGCUCAUGACGAAGCUUUGUGUGACGGUAGUGGGUAAAGAAGCACCGGCUAACUACGUG
rnacentral:rRNA from 1 species